CCCAAACAUCCGUCCAAAACAAAACACGAGUCGGGUUAAAUACUCUUCUAAUCUCCCUGUCGGAAGCACCGCAGCGGAAGACACGUCAAAAGCCCGACAUCAAGUUUGAGAGCUGCGGGGAGCCUCUCCCCCACACGGAAACGGCGUUCUGGGUGCCCUGACAACGGGUUUUGAAGACAAGCCAACAUCUGACAAACUGACCCCAAGCUGGAACCCUGAGCGGCAAACAUCUUAAAAACAUCUCUCCUACAAACUCCAAGCACAAUAAAUAAGUCACUUCUUGAUAUCAUGUGCAGGGGUGCCAAGUAUACGCUUGUACGAUAAAACGUGAGCUCUGAGAGACGUCGAUGUGACCUCUUACCUGUGAGUGCCCCUUGAUGGGGAAGUUGAAAGUCAAGGUUAAAACCCAUGACCCUGGAGGGUUAAAAACAUCUAAAUGGGGACACGGUCGGUGGUCCCUCCACCCCCUUCGCAACUGCUACCGGUGUGAAGUUUCCACAGUGAGGAGUGACAGGGAGCGUCACUGAUGGAUGGUGUGUGAUGGAUUUGAUUUAGAGCACCCUGCUACACACACACACACACACACCUUAGAGGCCUUGCAAAAUCCUACUGGAAUGCGUGUCCUGUAACAACAUCAACUAUGAGAAGGCACACGUCACAUGAUGCCAUGUGUGGUGUGUGCAUGUUCAACUGGGCCUUUUGCGUUUAGACUCGGCAUGUCUGAUAUUGGCUUUUUUGCCAAAAAACCAUAUGCCCAUAUUGUCCAACUUUUCUGAUAUCCGAAAGCAGAGUCAACAUAGUUCAGUAUAUUUCUCAUCCAAAUAGCAGUCAUUGUUAUUGAACUGCACUCGGCAUCGGUAACAACCUAAUGGGACCUUACAGCUUCAGUCUACCCCUUGACUUGUUGGUUCGAUAACCCUGUAGGACAGGGGUCUCAAACUCAAUUUACCUGGGGGCCACUGGAGCUAGGGUCUGGGCAAGGCUGGGCCGCAUCAGGUUUUCCAAAAAAAACAAAACGCUUUUAUUAAAAACAGAAAAAUAUACAAACUUUUUCAGUGCUUUGGUUCCGAUUUUCUACAAUAAAAGCUCUGAUAAAACA